UAUAUUCUGCAUUAACUUUCACUCGAUCUUGACGCGAAGAUUAAAGCCGUACUGUUGGGGGGGGCUGUUCUGAUAGACUUCAUAUCGGACCACUAUGACGAGGACUGAAGCGGCUUGUAUCAUUAUUAAAGAUAUAUUUUAUAACGCAUCAAAUGCGUUGCAAAGUUUUUAAUUAUGUAGUACAAUGUUAAUUAAAAUGAGCGACAUGUACACGUAUUCAAGAUAAAAUCAUAUAGUCAUGAAAACUGUAAGAUUAUAACUAUAACUAUAUAUUAGUCAAUUACUCUUUUAAUGACAAAUAAUGCUUAUUAUUUUUAUAUAUAAUUAAACUUUAUUUAAAUAUAUUUUUACUAAGUUUAUAUAUUCGCACAAGCAUAAUCAAACUUUUGCACAGAAUUCGAUCUCGAAAAAAAGCUCUCUUUUAUAAACUUAGUGCAAGUAUGUUACACAGUGCCUAUGUAUAGUUAUAGCAUUAUUCAUUGAUUUGCGAUGCUUUUGUCUUGCUUUUUUUUAAAGUUUUUUGACUAUCAUACAAUAUAACAAUGAACAAUAUUAAUUAUUCUUUUCAUACAUACACUUAUAUGAAUACACAAAUGAAUGACAAUUGUUACUUCAGACCAGCCUAUAUUUGUUUGCUAUGUGUAAAUUGUAUAAAUAAUUUUGAAAUUUUAUAAACAUAAUCUUUGUAUGGAUAAUUUGUGAUAUAAACAUACAUAUAAACAGCAUUUUUAUACAUGUAAACAGCAUGUAAACAAACAUUUAAAUUGUAUACGGUAACAUACAAUUUUUGCAGCAUUGUAAUCUCAAAUUUGAAAUAUUUUAUUACUUUGGCAAGAAAAGCUCGCGUACUUGUAUAAGCUUAAAAAAAUAUUUAUUCAAUAAAACUGAAUUACGUUUUUUA
rnacentral:lncRNA from 13 species